GUAGGAGGCAAGCGUUAUCCGGAUUCACUGGGCGUAAAGCGCGUGCAGGUGGCGCGGUAAGUUGGGUGUGAAAUCUCCCGGCUCAACUGGGAGAGGUCAUUCAAUACUACCGUGCUCGAGAGCAGAAGAGGAAGAUGGAAUUCCCGGUGUAGUGGUGAAAUGCGUAGAUAUCGGGAGGAACACCAGUGGCGAAGGCGAUCUUCUGGUCUGUUUCUGACACUCAGACGCGACAGCUAGGGUAGUAAACGGGAUUAGAGACCCCGGUAAUCCUAGCCGUAAACGAUGUGAACUUGGCGUUGGUGGGUUAAACUCCAUCAGUGCCGUAGCAAACGCGAUAAGUUCACCGCCUGGGGACUACGGCCGCAAGGUUAAA
rnacentral:rRNA from 1 species